GUGGGGAAUAUUGGACAAUGGGGGGAACCCUGAUCCAGCCAUGCCGCGUGUGUGAAGAAGGCCUUUUGGUUGUAAAGCACUUUAAGCGAGGAGGAGGCUACCGAGAUUAAUACUCUUGGAUAGUGGACGUUACUCGCAGAAUAAGCACCGGCUAACUCUGUGCCAGCAGCCGCGGUAAUACAGAGGGUGCAAGCGUUAAUCGGAUUUACUGGGCGUAAAGCGCGCGUAGGUGGCCAAUUAAGUCAAAUGUGAAAUCCCCGAGCUUAACUUGGGAAGUGCAUUCGAUACUGGUUGGCUAGAGUAUGGGAGAGGAUGGUAGAAUUCCAGGUGUAGCGGUGAAAUGCGUAGAGAUCUGGAGGAAUACCGAUGGCGAAGGCAGCCAUCUGGCCUAAUACUGACACUGAGGUGCGAAAGCAUGGGGAGCAAACAGGAUUAGAUACCCUAGUAGUCC
rnacentral:rRNA from 1 species